GGGGCUUGCUGUACUGUAGUUGGCAGGCUGAGGGGGUUGGGUGAGGGCUUGCUGUACUGUAGUUGGCAGGCUGAGGGGGUGAGGGGGCUUGCUGUAGUGUAGUUGGCAGGCUGAGGGGGGUUGGGUGAGGGGGCUUGCUGUAGUGUAGUUGGCAGGCUGAGGGGGGUGGGUGAGGGGGCUUGCUGUAGUGUAGUUGGCAGGCUGAGGGGGGGGGUGGGUGAGGGGGCUUGCUGUAGUGUAGUUGGCAGGCUGAGGGGGGGGGUGGGUGAGGGGGUGGGGGGGCUUGCUGUAGUGUAGUUGGCAGGCUGAGGGGGGUGGGUGAGGGGGCUUGGCUGAGUGUAGUUGGCAGGUGAGGGGGGUGGGUGAGGGGGCUUGCUGUACUGUAGUUGGCAGGCUGAGGGGGUGGGUGAGGGGGCUUGCUGUACUGUAGUUGGCAGGCUGAGGGGGGUGGGUGAGGGGGCUUGCUGUAGUGUAGUUGGCAGGCUGAGGGGGGGUUGGGUGAGGGGCUGUGCUGUAGUGUAGCUGGCUGGAGUAACUGAUUAACACUAUAGGGCCAAACUGGGCCGAACUGAACUGGGCUGGUUAUUCUUUCACCAUAGUAGCUGGAACCGUGCUGGAAAGGACAAUGUGUAAAUAAAAUAUCUGAGUCAGUACAGUACAGGUCAGCCCUAUCGUUCAGAUCAGGCAGAGGAAGAUAUAGGCUAGGAAGGUCUUCAUGGUUUCAGGGAAGAUAUAGGCUAGGAAGGUCUUCAUGGUUUCAGGGAAGAUAUAGGCUAGGAAGGUCUUCAUGGUUUCAGGGAAGAGGCUACAGUAAAUCUAUAUGAGCCCAGUGAAGAGGCACCUUGCCGGGCACGUUGGCUGUUCGGCCGGUCCCUCUCCUGGGAGAAAACUGGUCCUCUUCAACCACACAUGGUCAUAUACAGCCACUGAAUACAUACAGAAAGAAAAGAGAAAGAGAGGCCAAUGGACAGAGAGGAGAGAAAGAGAGGCCAAUGGACAGAGAGGAGAGAAAGAGAGGCCAAUGGACAGAGAGGAGAGAAAGAGAGGCCAAUGGACAGAGAGGAGAGAAAGAGAGGCCAAUGGACAGAGAGGAGAGAAAGAGAGGCCAAUGGACAGAGAGGAGAGAAAGAUGGACAAAGGAAAGGAAGAGACCGGUGGACAGAGAGGAGAGAAAGAGAGAACGACAGGUGGACAGAGAUGAGAGAAAGGGAGAGAUGGACAGAGAGGAGAGAAAGAGAGAUGGACAGAGAGGAGAGAAGGACAGAGAGAGAGAUGGACAGAGAAGAGAAGAAGAGAGAAGCACAGAGAGGAGAGAUGGACAGAGAGGAGAGAAGGACAGAAAGGAGAGAAAGAGAGAUGGACAGAGAAGAGAAGAAGAGGGAAGCACAGAGGAGAGAAGUUAGACACUAGACCACAGGCUGCUAAAAUGCAUGGCUGUUUGUUGAAAAUGUAGAGAAUGAUCUAGGACCCACCUCAGAGAUAUUCACCUCAGAUCCAGAACCCACUUUAGAGAUAUUCAUCUCAGAUACGGGUCCCACCUCAGAUAUUCAUCUCAGAUCCAGGACCCACCUCAUAUAUAUUAAUCUCAGAUCCAGGACCCACCUCAUAUAUAUUAAUCUCAGAUCCAGGACCCACCUCAGAGAUAUUCAUCUCAGAUAAAGGACUCACCUCAGCGAUGUUCAUCUCAGCCACUCCUUCUCCCUCUUUGUCUAGCUGCUGGAAAGAUC
ensembl:lncRNA